rnacentral:rRNA from 1 species
UACGGAGGAUGCAAGCGUUAUCCGGAUUCAUUGGGUUUAAAGGGUGCGUAGGCGGGCUAUUAAGUCAGUGGUGAAAUCCUGCAGCUUAACUGCAGAACUGCCGUUGAUACUGAUAGUCUUGAGUUUGGUUAAGGUAGGCGGAAUGUGUAAUGUAGCGGUGAAAUGCUUAGAUAUUACACAGAACACCAAUUGCGCAGGCAGCUUACUGAGCCGACACUGACGCUGAGGCACGAAAGCGUGGGGAUCAAACA